rnacentral:rRNA from 1 species
GUGGGGAAUCUUGCGCAAUGGGCGAAAGCCUGACGCAGCCAUGCCGCGUGAAUGAUGAAGGUCUUAGGAUUGUAAAAUUCUUUCACCGGGGACGAUAAUGACGGUACCCGGAGAAGAAGCUCCGGCUAACUUCGUGCCAGCAGCCGCGGUAAUACGAAGGGGGCUAGCGUUGCUCGGAAUUACUGGGCGUAAAGGGCGCGUAGGCGGACAGCUUAGUCAGAGGUGAAGGCCCAGGGCUCAACCUUGGAAUUGCCUUUGAUACUGGCUGUCUUGAGUUUGGGAGAGGUGAGUGGAACUCCGAGUGUAGAGGUGAAAUUCGUAGAUAUUCGGAAGAACACCAGUGGCGAAGGCGACUCACUGGCCCAAUACUGACGCUGAGGCGCGAAAGCGUGGGGAGCAAACAGGAUUAGAAACCCUUGUAGUCC